GGAGGCCCGGAGCGGCCUCGGCCGGCACCACCGAGCAGCGAGGACUACUUGAGAUUGCUGAUGUGAGAUUACAGACCGGUCCGGCACCA
rnacentral:SRP_RNA from 14 species